rnacentral:snoRNA from 1 species
ACGACCUUACUUGAACAGGAUCUGUUCUAUAGGCUCGUACCACUGUAUACUUGAGUCUCUAAGGAAGACAGAAAAUCAAGUUUGGUAGAUGAAUUCUGGCCAUUAGACCAGAGCGUGAUCAACAGCCCCUGUGACCUUCAGGCCAUGGAGACGUAGAUUAUCGUUCUCAGCCCCAACUAUGGGUGAUGGGAUGGUUUAAUGGUUGUCUGACAAACU